GCCAGUGUGGUAUAGUGGUUUGAGCACUGGAUUAUGACUCUGGAGACCAUGGUUCAAAUCCUGGCUCAGCCA